AGAGGCUGUGCUGAGCUGGCGCAGCGGCAGCAGCAUGAGCCGGACCCUCGCAUCGGCCGUGCCCCUGUCGAGUCCCGACUACUACGAGAGGCUGGGCCAACUCCAGCACGGGCUGCGGGACAGUGAAAAGAAGAGAUUGGACCUGGAAAAGAAACUUUAUGAAUAUAAUCAGUCUGAUACAUGCAGAGUUAAGCUGAAAUAUGUAAAACUAAAGAAUUAUCUGAAGGAAAUAUGUGAAUCUGAAAAGAAGGCUCAUACUCGAAACCAAGAAUAUUUAAAGCGAUUUGAGCGUGUCCAAGCUCAUGUUGUACACUUCACCACAAAUACAGAGAAGCUUCAAAAACUGAAGCUCGAAUAUGAGACUCAAAUUAAGAAGAUGCUAUGCUCAAAAGAUAGCCUGGGACUAAAAGAGGAACUGACAGAUGAAGACAGAGAAAAGGUUGCAGUGCACGAGGGGAUUAACUCAGGAACAGCCAUGUCAAGAGGAUUGUAUCAACCAGCAACAAUCUUUAUGGGCCGCCAAAUGUCAGCCAUCUUAAGCAUGAGAGAUUUCAGUACAGAGCACAAAUCUCCCCAGCCCACAAAGAACUUUUCAAUUCCUGACCCACAUUCACACCGACAGACAGCCCAGAGCAGUAAUGUGACAGACAGCUGUGUAGUACAAACUAGUAAUGACACACAGUGCUUAAAUAAGUCUGACAACAUAGAUGGAAAGGCAUCUCUUCAGAUUGGUGAGAAAAUGCCAGUCACAGCCAGUGUAUUGUCUGAGGAGGAACAAACUCAUUGCUUGGAGAUAGGAAGUAACACACGUCAUGGCAAGAGUAAUUUAUCUGAAGGCAAAAAGUCUGCUGAACUCAAUUCCCCGUUACGGGAAAGAUUAAGUCCAGAGAACAGAACCACUGAUUUAAAGUGUGACAGUUCCAGCGGAUCAGAGGGAGAAAUACUGACACGGGAACAUAUUGAAGUUGAGGAAAAAAGAGCCAGCCCGCCAGUCUCUCCGAUACCAGUUUCAGAAUACUGUGAAUCUGAAAAUAAGUGGUCUCAAGAGAAGCAUUCUCCUUGGGAAGGUGUUUCAGAUCAUCUUGCUCACAGGGAACCAAAGUCACAAAAGCCCUUCAGAAAAAUGCAGGAAGAGGAGGAGGAAAGUUGGAGCACCAGCAGUGACCUUACCAUUUCAAUAAGUGAAGAUGAUCUGAUUUUAGAGAGCCCAGAACCACAGCCAAAUCCAGGUGGCAAGAUGGAGGGAGAAGAUGGAAUAGAGGCCUUAAAAUUAAUCCAUGCUGAGCAAGAAAGAGUUGCCCUAUCCACUGAAAAAAAUUGUAUUUUGCAAACCCUAAGCUCUCCUGAUUCAGAAAAGGAAUCCUCCACUAACGCACCAACAAGAGAACCUGGACAAACACCAGACUCAGACGUACCGAGGGCACAGGUGGGUCAGCAUGUUGCCACCUUGAAAGAACAUGAUAAUUCUGUCAAAGAAGAGGCAACAGCAUUAUUGAGAAAAGCCCUUACAGAAGAGUGUGGCCGUAGGUCAGCUAUUCACAGUAGUGAAUCAUCUUGCAGCUUGCCAUCUAUUCUGAAUGACAAUAGUGGAAUAAAGGAAGCCAAACCUGCUGUAUGGCUCAACAGUGUUCCUACAAGGGAACAAGAAGUUUCAAGUGGCUGUGGAGACAAGAGCAAGAAAGAAAAUGUGGCUGCAGAUAUCCCAAUCACAGAAACAGAAGCCUAUCAGUUGCUGAAGAAGGCCACCCUUCAGGAUAAUACAAAUCAAACUGAAAACAGGUUUCAAAAGACAGAUGCUUCUGUGUCACACUUGUCAGGUUUGAAUAUUGGCAGCGGUGCAUUCGAGACAAAGACAGCUAACAAAAUUGCUUCGGAAGCUAGUUUUUCAUCUAGUGAAGGAAGUCCUUUGUCAAGGCAUGAAAACAAAAAGAAACCCGUGAUCAAUUUAAAAUCUAAUGGUGAGAGAGAUAAUCGGACACUAGAUUUUCUUUUUCUGUUUUAACCAAAAAACUCUGUGACAUGCAUUUGUUGUUUGCACCCUCAUGUGAGUCCUGAAGCGGGCAUGCUCACAGGGACUGCCAUUGCAGCUGUCCCUGGGGUGGAACCUGAGGGCUUCUGGAGGCUCAGUUCUUCACAGACAGGACCACACGGGUGCCAUGGACCACAGGGGCAGAGCAUUGUAAUUUGCAAAAGCACCCAUUGCUCAUGACCGGACAGGCUCUUGGAGUAACUCUAACUGGUUUCCUCAUACCCAGUUCCUCCCAGCUCCUGGGAACUCCCAGCUCCUCCACCUGGCCACCAGCCUCCAAACCCUGGCUUCCCCCGACCUUCCUGUGUAAGGACGGCCAAUGCCUCCCCGUACCUUCAGGGUAGAGUCUGAGCUUUCUCCAUUCCUGGGAGGCCCCAGCCCUGCUCUCCAGCUUAUUCCUCCCAAGGUCGCCUCUUUGGGUCAAGCCACAGUCAGCUUUUUUCAGCUGUAGCACACCUAUGCCUCUGUACCUUUGCCCAUGUUGUUCCUUCUGUAGGGAGUUCCUUUUCCUUUUCCUCAGCCCAGUGAGCUCCUAUUCAUCCUUCAACACCCAACUCACGGGAAAAAUCUAGCCCUCCUACCAUAACACUGUGGCAUAUCCCCUGCCCAGCUUGGGCUCUCUCACCUCCUGUCUCCUUAAACCCCUUAUACCUUAAAUUAAAGGUAUAAUUUGAUUAAUAGUUUUACUGACAA